GAUGAACGCUGGCGGCGCGCCUAACACAUGCAAGUCGAACGGCACCCCUCCUCGGAGGGAAGCGAGUGGCGAACGGCUGAGUAACACGUGGAGAACCUGCCCCCUCCCCCGGGAUAGCCGCCCGAAAGGACGGGUAAUACCGGAUACCCCGGGGUGCCGCAUGGCACCCCGGCUAAAGCCCCGACGGGAGGGGAUGGCUCCGCGGCCCAUCAGGUGGACGGCGGGGUGACGACACACCGUGCCCACAACGGGUGGCCGGGUAGGGAGACCGGCCGGCCAGGUUGGGACUGAGACACGGCACAGACUCCUACGGGAGGCGGCAGUGGGGAAGCUUGCGCAACGGGGGGAACCCUGACGCAGCGACGCCGCGUGCGGGACGGAGGCCUUCGGGUCGUAAACCGCUUUCAGCAGGGAAGGGUCAAGACGGUACCUGCAGAAGAAGCCCCGGCUAACUACGUG
rnacentral:rRNA from 1 species